GACUCCGUAGCUCAGUUGGUAGAGCAGUGGCCUUUUAAGCCAUUGGCCGUGAGUUCGAGUCUCACCGGAGUCACCA
rnacentral:tRNA from 1 species